GAUGAACGCUGACAGAAUGCUUAACACAUGCAAGUCGAUGGGGAAGUGGUGCUUGCACCAUGGCAACCAUGGCGGACGGGUGAGUAACGCGUAAGGGACUUACCUGCAGGACUGGGAUAACAGGGGGAAACUCCUGACAAGACCGGAUAAUGUCAUGGAGCUGCAUGGCUUUAUGAUGAAAGGAGACGCCUGCGGAGAGCCUUGCGUCCUAUUAGCUAGUUGGUGAGGUAAUGGCUCACCAAGGCGAAGAUAGGUAGCCGGCCUGAGAGGGUGGACGGCCACAAGGGGACUGAGAUACGGCCCUUACUCCUACGGGAGGCAGCAGUGGGGAAUAUUGGACAAUGGGGGCAACCCUGAUCCAGCAACUCUGUGUGCACGAAGAAGGUUUUCGGAUUGUAAAGUGCUUUCAGCAGGGAAGAAGUAAGUGACGGUACCUGCAGAAGAAGCGACGGCUAAAUACGUG
rnacentral:rRNA from 1 species